AUGAGUUUAAUCAAUCCAAAAACCGACAAGCUUGUGAGAAGAUUAACCAUUGCCGCAACUAUUACCGCUUCCUAUUUUCUCUUAACAGCUGAUUAUGGCCCUCAACCUAAUGCUCUUGACCCGAUUAAAAAGCAGAUACUUUCAGCAAAGAGCACUUUGAAAGACUAUUUUUUGGGAUCAAAAACAGAAUCUAAAGAAAAGCACUUUGAGAAAUUGGACAACAACAAGGAUGAUCCAUAA